rnacentral:misc_RNA from 1 species
GAUGAAGAACGCAGCGAAAUGCGAUAAGUAGUGUGAAUUGCAGAAUUCAGUGAAUCAUCGAAUCUUUGAACGCACAUUGCGCCCCUUGGUAUCCCGAGGGGCAUGCCUGUUCGAGCGUCAUUUCACCACUCAAGCCUGGCUUGGUGUUGGGCGACGUCCUCUUUGGGGACGCGCCUCGAAACGCUCGGCGGCGUGGCACCGGCUUUAAGCGUAGCAGAAUCUUUCGCUUUGGAAGUCGGGGCCCCGUCUGCCGGAAGACCUGCUCGCAAGGUUGACCUCGGAUCAGGCAGGGAUACCCGCUGAACUUAAGCAUAUCAAUGCGGAGGA